GCUGAAUUUCCCCAAAUGCUGCUUCUAUUUAUUUAUUAAAGCUGUGGGUCUACAUUGAUAGGGUGAAGUGUUCCUUUCACAAACUGGAGACAGGAAUCAAAGGGUUGCCAAUGCCAUGGCUCUGGAGACUGUGUGGAGAGUUGUCUGCAGUGGAGUGGAGUCUGUGUCUUUCAUCCAUUUUCCUCCUUCCCAUUGCAUUAAUAAUAUGUGUGACACGUUCUAAACGGGAAAAGACAUCCAGGUUGUCACUGGCUGAAAUAGGAGACAUUUCUGGGGAAAUGCCACUGGAUGAUUCAGUUGAGGUCACAACCUCAGGACCAGUGACAACCAUUAACAGACCAGCAUCCACAAAACAUGAGUCAAGAGAGUCCCAGAGAGUACAAAGUGGGUCUUUCCUGGGCCAGGUCACCCCAAGGUCAGUGAAAUUGGCUUUGAGGCAGCUGCCACCUGUUCCUGAGCUAAAUAAGAGCAAUGUCAGACAACACAGCAGCUACACUGAGUCUGUAGUGUAUGACAUUGUGGCCCUGGAUUUCUGUAAUUCCUUGCCCACUGUAGACAGCAAAGUCCUUCAAAAACAGACCAUCGAGGGCAGCAACCACACUGGAGAGGAAUAUGAAGAGGACGAAGUGGUAUUCCCUGUCUAUGCCGAGGUCAACAAAACCACAGUUCACUUGAACUCCUCCAGAUAUUCAUCACUUUAUGCCAAAGUGAACAAAAUAGGGUCCCGGAAUGUUGAAAUCUGAAUUGUUGCAGUGACUAACAGCAAAUGCCUUAAUGCUAAAUACAUUUUUUGUCAAAAGCUCAUUUGAGAUGAUUGCAUCAAUGCCAACCUUAUUUGGGUAAUCUUGAUGACAAGUGAAAUGCUUUAGAUUCAAUAAAAAGAGUAAAACAGGAAAUUCUGUGUAGCUCACUUACAUGGGGCUUGUAAUGCUGGGGUUGUAUAUUCGAUUUCCAUGGGUGGUCUGUAGGAAAAUGUAUGCCUUCCUGUACAUUCUGGAUUAAAGCAUCUAUUAAAUAACUUAAAUGUAAGUGCAUUAUUCACUCCAGAGUAAAAUGCAUGUGUACAUUUUUCCUAUGCUGUUUCUCAGACACAAUGUCACAAAGACUAAUUAUUCAUCUAUCCAUCCAUAAUGAGAUCAUAUCAGGACCUCUGACUAGACCACGCUGAAUGGAACGUUCCCAUGUUCCCCUUCUAUUUCAAAAUGGGCGGGACUUUAAAGUUGACAACAAGCUUGAAGUGUUGUUUGAGUCAAACAGAGUCAAAUCAGAAAGACGGUUAGCUAGCUUGCUAAAGUCGUAGAAGAACGUGAGCUGGCAGAGAAGAGAACGAAUUAUUCAGAGCAACCGAAGUUACUAAGGGAUACAUUAUAAAGAAUUGCAGAAAAGGUACAGUAGGUUGAGUUAUCGUUAUUAUUUCAGUAUUAGUUUUAUUUUGUAUCGCUGGUGAUACUGGUGUAAUUAACGCAACUUUGUUUAGUAAUUUACAUUUACCUCGCUAACUCAAUAGCUAGCACCUAAAAAUCGUUACUUUACAGUUACUGGUCUGGAGUGGUGGUGAGUUAGCUGGCUAGCUAACGUCGUUAUUCUUCAUUGAAUUAGCCAAAUCCGCUUGUUUGAUUUUCUUAGUUAUUCUAACUUGUUAACAGUAGAAGGUAAACGAAGUUAGUUUGUGUAGUUAGGUAGUUGUUACAGGCACAAUUAGCUAAACUUACAUAACUGAAAGAUCACUAGCAAGUUAGCCGCGACGUCUACUACUGGUUCGCUACGUUAACUGCCGCCGAGUAUAUGUAAUGUCUCUGAUCAUAGCUAGUCAGUAGCUACGCUAGAUACUCUAGCGAAAACGAACGGUACUGUUGUGUUUAGCUAACGUUACUCUUGGCUAGCUACACAUUACCUGCACCUAAACAAACAACGUAUAAAUCCCGGCGUAUUUUUACGGUGUGUAUUCAUUGUGUGUGUAUCUCCGAAGUACACGGGCAAAUUUUAACUGGUCCCCCAGACUAGUUAAUGUUGACAAUGAUUGUCUCUACUGACUGAACAUUCUCAUCGCCCACAUUUUCCAGGCUCUAUCACACCCCUGUAUUAAACCAGUCAAGCUAUUCUGUCUCCCCGUUAUGUAAUUGCAGGGUGUGUUCUUGCUAGCAGGGUGUCUGCCUGCCUUUCUGUCCAGAAAUACACUAUCAUUCUGAUGUUCCUUAGUCGCUAUGGCUCUGUUAGAUAGUCUCUUGAGUAAUUGCUGUGAUAUUCUAUAAUGAUUGAGAGGGGAGGAAUAGUUUUUUGUCCUUCCUAUUCUUUUAUCCCACUGCUCUGCACACAGAGUUCUAACGGUCUAAAUGUCUG
ensembl:lncRNA